AGCGCGCGCAGGCGGUUUCUUAAGUCUGAUGUGAAAGCCCCCGGCUCAACCGGGGAGGGUCAUUGGAAACUGGGGAACUUGAGUGCAGAAGAGGAGAGUGGAAUUCCACGUGUAGCGGUGAAAUGCGUAGAGAUGUGGAGGAACACCAGUGGCGAAGGCGACUCUCUGGUCUGUAACUGACGCUGAGGCGCGAAAGCGUGGGGAGCGAACAGGAUUAGAUACCCUGGUAGUCCACGCCGUAAACGAUGAGUGCUAAGUGUUAGAGGGUUUCCGCCCUUUAGUGCUGCAGCAAACGCAUUAAGCACUCCGCCUGGGGAGUACGGUCGCAAGACUGAAACUCAAAGGAAUUGACGGGGGCCCGCACAAGCGGUGGAGCAUGUGGUUUAAUUCGAAGCAACGCGAAGAACCUUACCAGGUCUUGACAUCCUCUGACAACCCUAGAGAUAGGGCUUCCCCUUCGGGGGCAGAGUGACAGGUGGUGCAUGGUUGUCGUCAGCUCGUGUCGUGAGAUGUUGGGUUAAGUCCCGCAACGAGCGCAACCCUUGAUCUUAGUUGCCAGCAUUCAGUUGGGCACUCUAAGGUGACUGCCGGUGACAAACCGGAGGAAGGUGGGGAUGACGUCAAAUCAUCAUGCCCCUUAUGACCUGGGCUACACACGUGCUACAAUGGGCAGAACAAAGGGCAGCGAAGCCGCGAGGCUAAGCCAAUCCCACAAAUCUGUUCUCAGUUCGGAUCGCAGUCUGCAACUCGACUGCGUGAAGCUGGAAUCGCUAGUAAUCGCGGAUCAG
rnacentral:rRNA from 2 species